GAAUGAUGCAAGCCGAGUUGCCUCAACGACAUUUUGAGGACCGUCCUGGGGAGUCCAAGUGGGGAUGAUAGCAUGGGAUGACGGAUUGGAGAUGGAUGAACAGCGAAGUGGAAAAAUGAGUGAAGGGUGGCUAUGAUUACAACAGAGGCUACUUCAUAAAUUCAAGACUUUCAUCUUUUCUUAAGGAAGACUAGCCAAACAAGGCCCUUACUUCAUUAAGGGCAGUUAUGUAAUGGCGUAGUUGUCUUCCUUAGUUUUCUAGAGUUAAUUCCCUAGAUUAUCACCCAAGUUUGGGAACUUGCCUUCAAAUAUCAUCUUUGUUUCUUUUA